CUAAAAUGUUUUUGGAGACUGGAAAGAAGACCCUGUUGUUAAGAGCAUUUGCUGCUGUUGCAGAGAACUCGAGAUCAGUUCCUCAUACCCACGUGACAGGUUUUCUCUGUGUGGUGCUGAGGCAAGGAUUAAUCCACUUUAGUUCUGUUUCCUGCUGGUUGGAAGACUUGACACGGAGAAGAGAGGAAAGAGGGGAGGAGCUCUGCUCACCACCAUCAUGGCACCCUGACUGCUCUUUAAUAAGGCUCAUAUUUUCCCCCAGAGACCCUAAGACUAGUAGCUUUCUGUAACCAGGUGUUCCUGCCUAUGGACCCGCUAUCCCAGGCUGCCAAGGCAACUCACCCUGAAGACAGCUGUCUCGAGGACCUUUAGCCUAAAUAAUUUUGCCUUUAUAUGUCCCUUCCUGUCCUCAUCAUCAAAUGAUUGGUCCUGUGAACUCUGAGAAUUGUUUCCUGUAGUGGACCCCUAAAUUGAAUCUAAAUCUAAGUGUAAUACUCAUGAAAAUGCUGUGGAGAUGCCAUGGUAAUAAUAACUUUUGGUUUGCCCAAAUAGGGAUGUGGUCUCAAAUGAGACUUUAUUUUUAUAUUGUGUUUGUUGGAAGUAUGCUUGCUUGGACAUGGAGAAGAGAAUCGAUUGUACAAGCUUGUGGCGGGGAACCUCAGCUCUCAAAGUGUGGGCCAGAUCAGUAUGAACUGUGGCUUUAGCCACCGAGAGCAGUCUUCAAAACUUUCUGAAACAUUCCUAUGCUCUGUGGAGGUCAGAGGAGGUACUAAAGUUUCAUGGGUUGGCAUGAAUAUGUGUGUGUUUGUGCAUAUGGUAUGUGUGAUAUAUGGGAAUGUAAAAUGCAUGAUAUGUCUGUUCACGUGUGUGAUAUGUGUGGUAUAUGUGAUAUGUGGUGUGUGUAG